CGGGUGAGUAACGCGUGGGUAACCUGCCUCAUACAGGGGGAUAACAGUUAGAAAUGACUGCUAAUACCGCAUAAGACCACAGGAUCGCAUGAUCCGGUGGUAAAAACUCCGGUGGUAUGAGAUGGACCCGCGUCUGAUUAGCUAGUUGGUGGGGUAACGGCUCACCAAGGCGACGAUCAGUAGCCGACCUGAGAGGGUGACCGGCCACAUUGGGACUGAGACACGGCCCAA
rnacentral:rRNA from 1 species